GGCCGACCGGGACGCAGAGAUCCUUGGACCGCAUGACGGUCGCCGCCCCAGCUGACGCACGACAGGCUGGGAAAGGUCCGAGGGGAGCGAGUGGCGAGACCGACCCGGACCGGC
rnacentral:ncRNA from 1 species